rnacentral:tRNA from 1 species
GCCUGGGUGGCUCAGUCAGUCAAGUGUCUGACUUCAGCUCAGGUCAUGAUUUCAUGGCUUGUGGGUUCAAGCCCCAUGUCAGGCU